CUAUUGGACACAUGCACCAUUAUAUGCAAUAAUGUUAUUGGUAUAUAGUUGCAUACUUUUCACUUCUUUGCUACUACGUCUGCGCAGCCAUGAGGUGUGCAG